GAUCCGGUUUGCGGUCUGGUGCUUUGUGGGUAUGCUCAUUUACUUUGGGUAUGGUAUCUGGAACAGCACCUUGGAAAUCAGCGCCCGAGAGCAGGCCCUGCACCAAAGCACAUACCAGCGCUACGACGUGGAUGACCCCUUUUCCGUGGAGGAGGGGUUCUCCUAUGCCACCGAGGGCGAGAGCCAGGAGGACUGGGGUGGGCCGGCUGAGGACAAAGGCUUCUAUUACCAACAGAUGUCAGAUGCGAAGGCAAACAGCCGGACCAGUAGCAAAGCGAAAAGCAAAAGCAAACACAAACAGAACUCGGAGGCCCUGAUCGAGAAUGACGAGUUAGAUUGCUCUCCUGAGUAAGGCGCAGGAGCCUAGAGAGGGUAAAUCAGCCUGUGUUCUAGAAGGUGGAAACUUCUUCCGACUCUCAUUUCACAAACCCAGCCUUCCCCAAGGUCCAUCCCCAGGCAUAAUCUGUCAUUUGCUGUUUCUGCUGUUCAGGGGAAUACCGUUGAAGGGUUUUACCCAGGGCCCUUAGCCAGCCCUCUCGUUAAAAAAAAAAAAAAGUCAAAAUCAAAAGACUCCACGAAAUCCUAUGUUAGUGAGACGUCCAGCCGAUGGCAGCAAAUGUUCGCUUUGCAGGAUGGGUCUUUGUGCUUCUUACUAAGAUGAGGAAGCUUCCUCCACCCAAGCUGAGAACACAGCCCCCCCACCCCGGAAGGAGUCAUAAAGGUGGCUGAGGUGCAAAGCAGUUGUCAGCCCUGCCAGAGCAGCCCUGGGAGCUCCUCUCCCAGGUCAGUAGGUCAGGCAGUUCCAGGACUUUCUCUGUCAGCAACACUGUGUCCUUACAUCUCACCUCCCCCUAAACUAACCAGGGAAGGGACCCAGCCUUCUCCUUACUCACCAAAGUUCUUACGGUUUCCAGACUAUAAUUUCAGGAUCCAGAAAGGAUAGAGGACACUGAGAACACAUUCCCUCAUAAAACACCCGUGUAGACACAAUAG
rnacentral:lncRNA from 1 species